UGGAAAACAGACCUUCACUGGAUUUGCAGCAAAGCAAAAAGCAGAUUGUGGCAAAAUGCUAUUACAGCUUCUGCUUUUGUCACUACUGUUGCCCUCAUCUGGAAAGUAAGGAAUAGCAUUCGAUUUGAAGGGACUGUUUUUGUGGAGGAACUUAUUUGCAGAGAAGUUGCAUUACUUAUACAUAUUCGAGGCAGGAAAUGCAAAUGUUGGCAGACUGGCUUGCGGCAGCUUAAUUGCUUUCCUUAGUUAUAGCCUUUAGAUAUCCCUAUACUGUAAUGACAUUUGUGUCUAGAUAGCUAUGAUAGUAUAGAUGAAAAUUUGUAAAU
rnacentral:lncRNA from 1 species